UACAAGUUAAACUAAGUGAAAGUUAUAGGGCUCAUGUUCCUAAUAUAUAAUAUUUUUUAUACUUGUAU
rnacentral:tRNA from 1 species